CCUACGGGUGGCAGCAGUGGGGAAUAUUGCACAAUGGGGGAAACCCUGAUGCAGCGACGCCGCGUGAGUGAAGAAGUAACUCGUUAUUUAAAGCUCCAUCAGCAGGGAAGAAAAUGACGGUACCUGAGUAAGAAGCCCCGGCUAACUACGUGCCAGCAGCCGCGGUAAUACGUAGGGGGCAAGCGUUAUCCGGAUUUACUGGGUGUAAAGGGAGCGUAGACGGCAGUGCAAGUCUGGAGUGAAAGGGGGGGGCUCAACCCCCGGACUGCUCUGGAAACCGGACGGCUGGAGUGCAGGAGAGGUAAGUGGAAUGCGUGGUGUAGCGGUGAAAUGCGUAGAUAUUAGGAAGAACACCAGUGGCGAAGGCAGCUUACCGGACUGUAACUGACGUUGAGGCACGAAAGCGUGGGGAGCGAACAGGAUUAGAUACCCCUGUAGUC
rnacentral:rRNA from 1 species